CGGGGUCAAAUGCCAACAUUGGUGGAGUAUAUGUUGCUUCUUUACCAUGCCUUAUUGCCAACUGCACUCCGGUACCGUUUCUUCUAGAACAAAGAAUAUGGAAGUCUCUUUUCAUCACUAAUGACAAAAUUGUAUUUAACCUUCAAGCUCGUGUCUGUUGUUGAAAAGGUGAGGGUUUUGUCUUAUUUUUUUCCCCUUGCAAAAUUGGUAAUAUACGUUUCCAUGUUCCCUAUAUCUUUCUAGUCUCUCGUGAAGGUUGGGUUUCUGGUAAGAGUGGUGUUUUUACCAAUGUGUACUUUUCUUUUUCCCUCUCCAUUUCUUUCUUGGGAUAUUGUCAAGUGCAAUCCUUCUUUGCUGUACUGAAAGCUUUAUCGCGUAAGGAAGUGCACUAUGGAGCAUAUUGGACAUCUGAGCAGGUGAAUACAGCUGGUGAUCUAUGCACUAUAUGGCAAGAGAAGAUGCACGCUCCUAUCCUACUUCGUUGCAAGCUCAUUUUCUGUGAGGACUGUGUUUCAGAAUGGGUUGCAAAAACCAGAAUGGGGUAUGGUGCUGAAACACUUGAUUGAAAAGGGGGUGCAUGUUUUUAUUGAACUUAUACAAUGUCCUUUUCCUUAUGCCAAGAAAAAGGAGGAGAGGACAAAGUGCUGGAUAAAAGGAAAAGGUAGAAAGAGGAGAAAAAAAAACGUAAAUGAAAAAUAAUAAAAAAAGUG